GCAUGUUGAAGGUUGGGUAACACUUAGUGGAGGUCCGAACCGUCUAAUGUUGAAAAAUUAGCGUUUGACUUGUGUCUGGGGGUGAUAGGCCAAUCUAAGCGGGAGAUAGCUGGUUCUCCCCGAUAGCUAUUUAGGUAGCGCCUCGUUAACUCAUCUUCGGGGGUAGAUGACUGUUUGUGCUAGGGUGUCAUCCCGUCUUACCAACCCUUUGCACACUACGAAUACCGUUGUAUGUUAUGACGGGAGACACAC
rnacentral:rRNA from 1 species